rnacentral:lncRNA from 10 species
ACUCAAGAACCCAGCCCCCAUAGUGUGAGGAGGCCUAGGACAGUUACAGAAGCCAUGUGUAGGUGUUCUGGCUCCAGCAAAAGUCUUAUCUGACAACAUCAACUACAUGUUAGUGGUAUUGCAGAGAAUUUGAUGAGGAAAUUAUGAUGGAGGAUGCAUACUUAACAAAGAAAAUCUCCUGGAUGGAUCUUUCCUAUACAGGAAUUGUGAAAAUCUUCCCUGAGACAGG